ACGCACGCUGGCGGCGUGCUUCACACAUGCCAGUCGAACGGAAAGGCCCUGCUUUUGUGGGGUGCUCGCGUGGCGAACGGGUGAGUAACACGUGAGUAACCUGCCCUUGACUUUGGGAUAACUUCAGGAAACUGGGGCUAAUACCGGAUAGGAGCUCCUGCUGCAUGGUGGGGGUUGGAAAGUUUCGGCGGUUGGGGAUGGACUCGCGGCUUAUCAGCUUGUUGGUGGGGUAGUGGCUUACCAAGGCUUUGACGGGUAGCCGGCCUGAGAGGGUGACCGGCCACAUUGGGACUGAGAUACGGCCCAGACUCCUACGGGAGGCAGCAGUGGGGAAUAUUGCACAAUGGGCGGAAGCCUGAUGCAGCAACGCCGCGUGCGGGAUGACGGCCUUCGGGUUGUAAACCGCUUUCGCCUGUGACGAAGCGUGAGUGACGGUAAUGGGUAAAGAAGCACCGGCUAACUACGUG
rnacentral:rRNA from 1 species